UGGGGAAUAUUGGACAAUGGGCGGAAGCCUGAUCCAGCAAUGCCGCGUGUGUGAAGAAGGCCUUAGGGUUGUAAAGCACUUUUGUUAGGGAGGAAGGAGUAUAUAUUAAUACUAUAUACGACAGACGUUACCUAAAGAAUAAGCACCGGCUAACUCUGUGCCAGCAGCCGCGGUAAUACAGAGGGUGCGAGCGUUAAUCGGAAUUACUGGGCGUAAAGGGUGCGUAGGUGGAUACGUAAGUCAGAUGUGAAAUCCCCGGGCUUAACCUGGGAACUGCAUAUGAUACUGCGAAUCUAGAGUAUGGUAGAGGUAAGUGGAAUUUCCGGUGUAGCGGUGAAAUGCGUAGAUAUCGGAAGGAAUAUCAGUGGCGAAGGCGACUUACUGGACUGAUACUGACACU
rnacentral:rRNA from 1 species